rnacentral:rRNA from 1 species
UCCUUAGAUGUUCUGGGCCGCACGCGUGCUACACUGAGUGGAUCAGCGGGUCAGGUUGCGCGAAAGUGUUUCCUAAUCUUUAAAUCCGCUCGUGAUGGGGAUUGACGGUUGCAAUUUUCCGUCAUGAACGAGGAAUACCUUGUAAGCGCGGGUCAUCAUCCCGCGCUGAAUACGUCCCUGCCCUUUGUACACACCGCCCGUCGCUCCUACCGAUUGAGUGGUCCGGUGAGGCUUUGGGAUCUGGGCGGAAAGAGCGUUUCGCUGUUUCUGCCCGGAAAACUCAGUCGAACCUUAUCAUUUAGAGGAAGGAGAAGUCGUAACA